rnacentral:lncRNA from 1 species
GCUUGCAGCAGCUAAAAUAUUUACUUUUUGAUGCUAUGCAGAAAAAUUUUGCGGAUCCCUGAGUUAUACCAAUAACUACUCAAUGGAGAGACCCCUGUGACCUCCUGAGGCAUGGGAAAAUACCAGAACAGGACACGGGUCACUCAACAGCAGGCAGGGGACUGACCAGCCGGAUCCAGAAAGCCUCCGGGGGAGGUCAGUCUGGCUCCCCUGUGUCCCCCUCUCUCCGCCCCUGGAUCCUGUGAAGCAUCCCCCACACGGAUUCCAGUGUCUGCCACUCAGCACCUUAAAAGGAAGAUCUGGGCCUCUUUGCACAGACAGGAAGCGGACCAGUGUUUGAGAAGGGCAGGGCAUCCUUUGUGGCUGAAUCCCGACCUCGCAGUUUUAGAGGUACUGCGCUCCUGCAGUCCUGAAACUCAGCCCCAGCGCCCAGCCUGUGAGCCUGUCCCCACGCUCCAGUCUGGACCCUGCGCUGUGGCCCUUCGCCCUUCCAGUGUGAAUGCCGUGCCUCCGCGUCCUCCUCGGGAGUCACUCAGAUUUAUAUGUAAAUCUCUGUCCCUCCCCAGCCAGCUUCUCCCCAAGGCCGGCGGCUGAGAGAUUUAGAGAGGAGGCGGGGCUCGGGUCCUUAGCGCCUUCGAAGCCACGCCCCCAGUGAUGUCACUUCCUCUCGCCAGGCCCACCUUCCAAAGAUUCCGCCCCUUGCCAGCGUGCCACAGCGGGGGACCAGGCCUUAAUGGCCCGAGCCUUUGGGAGCAUUUAAAAUCUAAAUCCUAACAACAGGUUUCAUGUGCUUUUGUCUACCUGGAAACCUACCUCUGUCAUUUCUGAGAAGGAUUAUCUCUUCCUGUUUUUUAAAAAAAUCGAGGUGAAAUUCACAUGCCAUAAAAUUAACCGUUUUAACAUUUACAAGUCAGUAGCAUUUACUGAGUUCACAAGGCUCUGGAACCCCACUUCUAGAACAUUUCCAUGACCCCCAAAGAAAACCUACGCCCAUUAGACAUUCCAAAUUUUCCCCUCCCAGCCCUUGGCAACCA